rnacentral:rRNA from 1 species
UACGGAGGGUGCGAGCGUUAAUCGGAAUUACUGGGCGUAAAGCGCACGUAGGUGGUUGGGUAAGUCGGAUGUGAAAGCCCUGGGCUUAACCUGGGAACUGCAUUCGAUACUGCCCGGCUAGAGUAUGGGAGAGGGAAGCGGAAUUUCCGGUGUAGCGGUGAAAUGCGUAGAUAUCGGAAGGAACACCAGUGGCGAAGGCGGCUUCCUGGCCCAAUACUGACGUUCAGGUGCGAAAGCGUGGGGAGCAAACAGG